rnacentral:rRNA from 1 species
GACGAACGCUGGCGGCGUGCUUAACACAUGCAAGUCGAACGAUGAAGCCGGAGCUUGCUCUGGUGAAUUAGUGGCGAACGGGUGAGUAACACGUGAGUAACCUGCCCUUGACUCUGGGAUAACUGCGGGAAACUGUAGCUAAUACCGGAUACGACCCUCGGAGGCAUCUCCUGGGGGUGGAAAGAAUUUCGGUCAAGGAUGGACUCGCGGCCUAUCAGCUAGUUGGUGAGGUAAAGGCUCACCAAGGCGACGACGGGUAGCCGGCCUGAGAGGGGGACCGGCCACAAUGGGACUGAGACACAGCCCAGACUCCUACGGGAGGCAGCAGUGGGGAAUAUUGCACAAUGGGUGCAAGCCUGAUGCAGCAACGCCGCGUGAGGGAUGACGGCCUUCGGGUUGUAAACCUCUUUUAGCAGGGAAGAAGCGAAAGUGACGGUACCUGCAGAAAAAGCACCGGCUAACUACGUGCCAGCAGCCGCCGUAA